rnacentral:rRNA from 1 species
GACGAACGCUGGCGGCGUGCCUAAUACAUGCAAGUUGAGCGCUGAAGGUUGGUACUUGUACCAACUGGAUGAGCAGCGAACGGGUGAGUAACGCGUGGGGAAUCUGCCUUUGAGCGGGGGACAACAUUUGGAAACGAAUGCUAAUACCGCAUAAAAACUUUAAACACAAGUUUUAAGUUUGAAAGAUGCAAUUGCAUCACUCAAAGAUGAUCCCGCGUUGUAUUAGCUAGUUGGUGAGGUAAAGGCUCACCAAGGCGAUGAUACAUAGCCGACCUGAGAGGGUGAUCGGCCAGAUUGGGACUGAGACACGGCCCAAACUCCUACGGGAGGCAGCAGUAGGGAAUCUUCGGCAAUGGACGAAAGUCUGACCGAGCAACGCCGCGUGAGUGAAGAAGGUUUUCGGAUCGUAAAACUCUGUUGGUAGAGAAGAACGUUGGUGAGAGUGGAAAGCUCAUCAAGUGACGGUAACUACCCAGAAAGGGACGGCUAACUACGUG